rnacentral:rRNA from 1 species
UACAGAGGGGGCAAGCGUUGUUCGGAAUUACUGGGCGUAAAGGGCGCGUAGGUGGCCUUCUAAGUUGAACGUGAAAUCCCUGGGCUCAACCCAGGAACUGCGUCCAAGACUGGGAGGCUUGAAUCCGGGAGAGGGAUGCGGAAUUCCAGGUGUAGCGGUGAAAUGCGUAGAUAUCUGGAGGAACACCGGUGGCGAAGGCGGCAUCCUGGACCGGUAUUGACACUGAGGCGCGAAAGCCAGGGGAGCAAACGGA